CCUACGGGAGGCAGCAGUGGGGAAUAUUGGGCAAUGGGCGCAAGCCUGACCCAGCAACGCCGCGUGAAGGAAGAAGGCUUUCGGGUUGUAAACUUCUUUUCUCAGGGACGAAGCAAGUGACGGUACCUGCGGAAUAGGCCACGGCUAACUACGUGCCAGCAGCCGCGGUAAUACGUAGGGGGGAAGCGUUAUCCGGAUUUACUGGGUGUAAAGGGCGUGUAGGGGGGAAAGCAAGUCAAAUGUGAAAACCAUGGGCUCAACCUGUGGCCUGCAUUUGAAACUGUUGUUCUUGAGUACUGGAGAGGCAGACGGAAUUCCUCGUGUAGCGGUGAAAUGCGUAGAUAUGAGGAGGAACACCAGUGGCGAAGGCGGUCUGCUGGACAGCAACUGACGCUGAGGCGCGAAAGCGUGGGGAGCAAACAGGAUUAGAUACCCGAGUAGUC
rnacentral:rRNA from 1 species